GACGAACGCUGGCGGCGUGCUUAACACAUGCAAGUCGAGCGAUGAAGUUUCUUCGGAAAUGGAUUAGCGGCGAACGGGUGAGGAACACGUGAAGAAUCUGCCCUCCACUUUGGGAUAACACCGGGAAACCGGUGCUAAUACUGAAUAUUGAAACAUAAGUGGCAUCACUGAGUUUUGAAAGAAUUUCGGGGGAGGAUGACUUCGCGGCCUAUCAGCUAGUUGGUGAGGUAAUGGCUCACCAAGGCAGCGACGGGUAGCCGGCCUGAGAGGGCGGCCGGCGACCCUGGGACUGGAACACGGCCCAGGCUCCUACGGGAGGCAGCAGUGGGGAAUAGUGGGCAAUGGAGGAAACUCUGACCCGGCGACGCCGCGUGCGGGAUGAAGGCCUUCGGGUUGUAAACCGCUUUCAGUAGGGAAGAAGCGAAAGUGACGGUACCUACAAAAGAAGCACCGGCUAACUAUGUGCCAGCCGCCGCGGUAA
rnacentral:rRNA from 1 species